rnacentral:lncRNA from 1 species
AAACAUGAAUUCGUCCAUCCAAUAUCUCAAAUUAGAAAGAAGAAAUCUUAAGACCUCCCAAUUGGCAUAGUUGAACAGACGACUAUCCCAGAGUUUAUGGUAGCCCCUAUCUCCUGUAUGAAAAUAAGACUCAUGAGUGUUUUGUCCAACGUCAUAGCCAUUUAGACCAUCGGUCACAUUAUUACUCGCAUGGCUAUGGACAACAUCCAUCAGAACUCGUAAUCCUAAACUAUGUGCCUUGUCAACAAGAUAUUUCAGAUCCUCUGGUGUUCCUGAUCUGCUGCUGACUGCGAAAAAAUUUGUCACGUGAUACCCAAAAGAAGCAUAGUAGGAAUGUUCCAUGAUUGCCAUUAACUGAACUGUGUUGUAGUUAUUUGCCCGUAUGCGUGGUAACACAUUGUCUGCAAAUUCUCUGUAUGUGCUUACUUCUGGCUCUUCACCACUCAUCCCCACAUGAGCCUCAUAGAUGCGUGGAGCAUCAGGUUUUGGAGGUCGAGGAUGCUUAAACACGUACCUGUAAGGUAAACAGUAACAGUGAUCAUGUCAGCAAAGCUUUGCGUCUUUAUGCUUCCCAAAUAUUUGAAGCUUGUUUACAUUGUAGUUCAAGGCACAAGUAGAGGACCUUUCACAGGCUGGAGGAUCCCAGUGUACACCAUCAUAUGGAGCUCCAAAUUUAGAGGCAUCAAAAGUUGCAUAACGAAUCCAUGCGGGAAUACGAUCAACCCAUGCUCCACCCCCAUGCCUAAAGCGAAAUUUAACCUUGGAAUUGUGAGGGAUGGCAGGCUUCCCAUUGACAUGUGAAAUCUUGAUUGACCAAAUGCCAAAUUUAUCCUUCUCCAUCUUGUGUUUUGCACCAUUCCAGUUAUUGAACUCACCAAUGAGCUGUGCUUCUCUAUAUGCAUGAAGAAAAACCUCCAAGUUAAAUGCAUUGAAUAUUUCCCCGCAAAAAAAUGCAUUAAAUAUUGCAAAUACUGGUAAGGUCUUAACAAAAACGACAAUUAAGAAAUCACAGCCUCACAAGUUCAGAACCAACUACAAUCGGACACAGAUAACAUAAUUUUCUCUCUUCAUGGCAUUAUGUUCUACCCCCGAUACUUACCUUAAACAGCCAAGACGUGCUAUGAGUGAAAACUCAAAACAUCUCUAUUACCGGCGGUGAGGAGCUAUCUUAUGUUGUAAAAUUAACUUUCUGCUAGCUGCUACCAGACAAAGCAUAGUAUUGAAAAUAAAAUGAAGAAGUGGUACUUAAACAACUUGAUCAGUGAUCCAUAUUUCCUACAACACAUAAACAUUAGCGAAUAGCUGGAUGACUACAUUAGAACUUACUGUGCAGCAGGCGCCCAUUCACGAUAUAUUGUGGCACCAUCAACUGUAUUAAUCCCAAACUUCAAAUAGCCUACAAAAGAUGGAAUGAGAGAACCAUAAAGAGUUAAAAGAUGCAAAGAAAAUAGCAUAUGCCGACUCUUGUAUGAAGGAGUAUUUGUGCAUUAAAUUGAAGUAGUGAACUUAACCUUUAGAAAAUUCUUCAAGGCCCCCCUCAUGUUUUUCAAUCAGGCAUUUCUGGUCGAGGUAUCUUUUUAUCCUAUAGUUGAAGUGAUCCUUGAAUUCCUCCAACUUAGGGUCCAGAUCAUAUAUAGGAAGGUGGUCGACCUCCUCCACAACAGUCACCAUGGUUUUGUUUUUUCGCGCAGUCGCAGGAACUGAGAAAUUGGUCUUGACCUUUGAAUUAUGAACAAUAGUUAGAUUUACUUGAGGUGGCUUCUAUCACUUCGAUUUAUAUAUUGCAAUGUAACAAUCAGUUGCUAAACUGUACCAUCUUGUAUAAGACUGGUAGGAAAAAAGAUGAACCGCAAACAAAAACGUAGAUAAAUUUAACCAAAAUCCUAUCCGGUCAAUAAGGGCAAAGAUUGCUACUCCACCAAAGUACAGCUUUGGUGUCACCGAGAUGACCCAAUACAGUAUUCCAAUCAAUAAAAAUCCAACAUUUCCCCACCUGAAUAUAUUACAGAGAAGAGAUACAUGAGAGUUUCCAAGCAUAGGAGCCCUUGACAGAAGAAAAGGGGAGGAGGAGGGGAUGGAAUAGGGGAGAAGGAUGGGAAAGCAGGGGGACUGGUUGCAGGGUUUCUCCAAAAACGAUGCCUUGAAGAAGGUGACGACGUCGGAAAGGACGCCACCAUCGCAUAAACAGGAGACUGGAAAGGGUUUUCACCCAGCAGCAAGGGGGAACAGGGUGUUAGAGCAUCUCCAGCAGUAGUCCCUAUUUUAGAGUCCUCAAAGGUUGAAUGAGGGCUGUCCCUAUUUUCUAAGAAUUCAAAAAUUACCUCCAACUCUACCAGCAGACCCUAUUUCUUAGCCCCCAUUUCUUUUUCUCUUGUAUUUCUGAUUAUACUCUAUGCUUACACCUAGUUUAACAUAGUAAUAAUUCAAAUACGAAUAUUUCUAAUGUAUAGAAUUCAAUUGUAUUCAAAUCCAUAAUUUUAAAUACCAUAAUUCAAAUUCAAAAUUCUCAAACAUGGGAGUGAAAUCCUACCGGCAAGUAUUCAAGACACUACGUAGUUCAAUUAAAUAAGAACUAUAAUCAAUAGAUAAAAUUAACUCUAUACCUUUUCCAAUCUAAUCUAUCUGAGAAACUUCAGAAAGAGCUUAAAUCCUCCUAGAAAAAAAAAACCUUGAAGUUAAACUUCAACUCACAACUGACACAAAAGAACAACACUGCAGAAUAAUCUUUGAAGGAACUACUGCAUAAUUGCAAGCAGCCUAAUUGUCUCAACCUACCAAGCACCACAAACUUUAAAGGAACAGAACAAUAAUUUUUAUGCCAUGAUCGUUUAGAACCACAGUUAGCCAUAAACCAAUCGAGAGCAGGAUUGUUUAGAACAUGUUUCUGAUGGUCAUGAAUUUCAGAACAUUCUUGUCUACCAUAUAGUGCAUCAGUGUGCGAACUGAUCAAGGACCACGAAAAAACAAGCAAGCGGGCACGCGGACGACAAGCAGUGGCCGGUGGAGGUACUGGAUGGUCGCACCGUCGGCCACGAGCGGCGGAACCAGCGAGCUGGCGAAGAUCGGCGCCGUGGCAGCGAUUCCGCGGGAGGGAAGACAGACACCACACGUCAGGAAAUUUCCUCCCGCGUAGAAAAACGGCGAUAGGGCCUCGGUCUACAGCCCCCAGGCCUAGGGACUGCGGAGGGGUAUUUGAGGUCCUUCCUAUUUUAGGACCUGUAGUAUGGGUUUUGCUGGAGUUUAUUUUUUGUCCUUAGCACCUAAAAACUGUUUAGGAAUUGUAUUUAGGGUCUCUACUGGAGAUGCUCUUGCGACGACGCCUCCAGGAGGGGCAUUGCAUGAUGUCCAAGGACGUUCAUCGCCGUCAGGCCGGCUAUGAGUCGGACAGAGCUUUCGCCCAACACCCUAAAACCAUCCUCGCUACCAGCCAGCACACACCGUGCAACCCAACAGCCAAGCGGCCGUCGGCGGCCAACUAUCCCGGCAGGACCCGCCGCCGCCAACACAACCGACAGCACCUGCAAUCCGCAUGUCCCACACCCGACAGAUCUAGACGAAACCCUCCAACGGGAAAAAUGGCCACACAGCCUCCCCUAGUUCCAUCAGAAGAAUCAGGGAAGGGGCGCAUCAGCGGCUUGGGAACCCAGAUUCGGAACAAGAACAUGGAAGGUAGUAUGAAAGGUAGAAAAAAGUAUUGAGAGAGAGAGAGAGAGGAGGGAGGCUAGGAGAAGGACGGGAGAGUGGGAAGGAGGUAGAGCCGACGGCGGCAAAGGGGAGCGGUGCCGCCGGCGGCGAGGUGGUCGGCGGUGGGGUGUCGGGGUUUUGGGGCUGUCGCCUGUGGCCAAAGAAAUUCAGACUUACUUGUUUUCCCCACAAUUAAUUAUCACCAUCAUCAAAUUCCUAAUUCGAUAGAUAUCCUGCAACAGUAUCUUACCUUUCCAGGCCACGACCGGCGCGGCGAAGAAACCACGCUCAGGCGAACAUUGCCACCCCCGCCCUGCGGACCACCACACCAUCAAUAACCCAAACACCUAACAAAACAAGAGAGAGAGGGAAAACUAAUCAUAUCAUAUAUAGAAGUUUCUAUAUAUUGACUGACCGCGAUUCCCGGGCUCGGUCGAUCAGCGAGAGAGGGAAGGAGCGGAGCGGGCGCGGAGGAGGAAGAGGAGGUGAGACACAGCAUUGCGGCGGAUGUCGGUGGCCGUGGAGGCGACUCCCAUUUCCACAGCUUCGAAAUCGGCGGCGAUUUAUAGCGCCGGAGCGGAGGCCGGAGGCGGCGAGGAAGCACGGAAAAGCUUGUGCAGCAGUGGAGUGAAAAUUGGGAGAAAAAAAAAGGAGAAAACAAAGCCAAAGUGCUGACGUGGACACCUGCCACGUGGACGGCCAGGAGGUGCCCAGGAGCCUUUGGGCCAAUUGGCCAUGGGCCUUCACGUGUCUCUCCUUCCUUUUCUUUUUCCAGACGCAAAUAAAUACAAACCGAAUUCCUGUAAAUCAUAAUACAAGACAAAAGCGAAAGGUAAUGAGAUUUCUAUGCUGACACUGUUGCUUGUUUCAUCCAAAUGAGGUUGCUUGCUGCUGUUAGCUGUCAGUAAAGCAAAUGCAUACAAGGUAAAAGCAGCUUUGAUUUCUGUCAAAAUGUGUAAUUAUGUGGCCUUUUUGAUAGCUAAAGCAGUGGGGGAAUAAAACGUAUUUGUUGCUCGAUCAGCUUGGUGGUGUUUAGAUCCAGGGACUUAACUUUAGUCCCUGUCUUUAGACACUAAUUUAGAGUAUUAAAUAUAGACUACUUACAAAACUAAUUACAUAAAUAAAAGCUAAUUCACGAGACAAAUUUUUUAAGCCUAAUUAAUCUAUAAUUAGAGAAUGUUUACUGUAGCAUCACAUAGGCUAAUCAUGGAUUAAUUAGGCUCAUUAGAUUCGUCUCGCAAAUUAGUCCAAGAUUAUGGAUGGGUUUUAUUAAUAGUCUACGUUUAAUAUUUAUAAUUAAUUUUCAAACAUCCGAUGUGAUAGGGACUUAAAAGUUUUAGUCCCAUCUAAACAGGGCCUACUCUCACGUCUUGUUAUCAGUUGCUUUUGGUGACUCAUAGCAUCCUAGGAGGAUAAUCACUUUGUAUGCGUGUUAUGUAGCACAACGUGAUUGUGCCAAAUCUGUCGCGUGAUCAGCUUAACUAAGGUUCUUUUUCCAUUAAUUCCCGGCACAAAGGCAUAUGUUUUCUUGUCAAAAAGAAAAAAAAAAAGGAUUCAAGGACAUCUGGAUGAAACCUUGAAGAAAAGAUAAGAAAAGAACUGCAUAUUUAUUUUCCUCUUCAACUUUAAUCUGCUUGAAAUUUAUUGUCUUCUUGAUAAAAAGUAGCCACUUGAAAUGUAUUUGCGUUAACUGGGAUGUUACAGAAAUUGCAAGCUCAGAGCAGUUAUCAUUCUGUCAUGAUCUGACGCAACUCAACUCAAAUGCGGUAUAUCCCAAUGAUUGGAUUUACCUACGGUGCAAAUCAUUCAUCUAAUGCCAGGGAGGUAAAAGGACGCCCUCCUUUAUAAUUUAUUUGAAUGAAAGAAUGAACAAUAUACUGUAAGUACAUAUAACAAAAACUUGACAACACCAAAAACAAAGCUUGCAAGACAUUUCUUCCUCAAAUCAGAAUCUUAUAUACUUUUGUGGAAAAAACUGUCCUUUACAACUGAUAAUGCAAGCAUGAAUUAGUUAACCUGCCAUGCUUCACAAUUUGAUGCAUGCAUGCCUGCAAUGUUUAUCAUCAAGACCCUAGCAUCUGAAAUGUCAGUUGAACAACCUGGAGAUAAUGUCAUCUGCUAGCUCAAUCUGCAGCAUUGCAGUGUCCUCACAAAGAGAUCCUAGGUUUCAACCUAAUUCGAGUCUCUGUCAUCUGUUUGCGUGGUAGUAAGCAUUUAGCCUCCAAGGAAGAUCCAGACCAAGAAAUUCAUGUUUCAGAGCAUUAAUCCUUACUCCCUAGUAAUCCAUCUGUGCCCUCGGAUUUCAUACCCACCUAAUCCUUGAUCACUGCUCUCUCCUCCACUCUCUGCGCUCCCGUACCCAGAUUUCCUGCGAUGCUUCCGUGAUUUCUUCUGACCACUAUUAUCACUUAAGCUCCCAUUCAGGAGAGGAUCGUCAAUACCGCUGAUUACCCUGCUCAAGGAUUGUUGUGAAUUUAUGCAGCUAUCGUCAUUUGUUUUCUUCUUUUCUUUCUCAUGCUUUUUGAUGUUCUGUGAUAUCCUGUGCAGCUUUUCAUUGAUUGGUUCCACAGCAUGAUUGACGGUGAACUUCAGGUCAUUCACAAUCUGCAAGAUUCAGUCAAUGUUACAGUAAGAAACAUAUUUUGAAGUAAAAUUGAUGGGAGACAGCAAUGAGGAGCUAGCAUCUUUAUCUUACAUAUUCUCCUCCUCCAAGUACGACGUCACGAACACUUUCUUUUAUGCCAGUGGAGCAUCUGACACGAUCGCCUGGCUGGGGAAGCCUAGUCUUGGUUGGUCGCUCACUGUCCUUAACUUCAUCUGGAUCUAGAGGGCAAUCAACUGAAGCAUAGUCUCCGAGAACUGAAACCCCUCCAAUGAAACGAUCACCCAUCAUCUCAUAUGGCUUGGCAGGGAACACAUACAGGUGGGCAAUAGAAGCAACUCCCAUCUGUAUUGGAUGACAAAACAACUAGUUAGGGUUUGUUUCAAAUGGACAACAAAAAAGACACAAGCAUGACUAAAUGAAUAAACAGGAAAUCCUUCACUGUCACGGUAAAAUAGGAAUCGACAACCUCUAUGCAGAUAAUGAAGUCCUGAAUACUGGACUUGAACUGCAACUCUUGAGCAAUAGGACCUCUUAGCAAGCCCCAAUUGUACAGCAAUGCAAUCACCACACCUUGCCACCAUGUUAAGAAGACUAUAGACUUGAAUGUCAGAAACUUUGCAAGAGGCUUUAUAUGGGCUAGUUCAUCCUUUAUGGCAGCAUAGAACUGAACCAGACAAUACAAGGCCCAUGACUGACUAAAAUUGAGAACCACAGCAGUGUAAGAGUACCUGGUAGAUAGGGGUUAUUAGUUCAGCAUCAGCAAGCUAGUGCUCCUACUUUUUACUGAGUAACAAUAAAAAAACGAAAAGGAAACAUCAUUUUAACUGCUUCAUGAUUACAGCAACUGAUGCAUGAACUAAUUCACCAAUGCUAGCAUGUCAUUUGUCCACUGAAACCGUGGUUUAAGAAAUUUGCAGUCUAAUGCAUAAAACUGAGUUAUGUAUAAACAUAUUUUUCGUGCGGUGAAAGGCAUAUGAAAAUAAACUAUUAAGAGUUCACAGAACACUCUGUGCCAGAGAAAAGAUUAUUCAAGGCAAUCUAUAGUAGUCUGUGAAAAGUAAUUGUAGAACUUACAGAUAAAUGUUGAAUGUUGCUUGAACUCACAAGUUGAAAUCGAGUAAAAGGUACAGGAAGUGAUAUACCACAAUGAAACAUGCAAGCAUAUCCAUAAUUUAAAAGAAAAAAAAAACAGCAUAAUUUUUAACUGGAUUAAAAAGCUCUAGAGGCAAAAGUUGUAUGGAAGCAAUGCAGCAUAAAUGAGAAAAAGUUUAUGCAAGGAAUGUUGAACAAAAUGUUUAAAUGAAUUAAAUAAACGCCCUUCAUGUGUAUAUGCCUCUUACCCACAGUUCCACUUAAACUCUCCUUCACAGUACACUCCAAAGGAUUCAAGAAUCACCGCAAGAAUAGCACAAAUUGUCUUUAUUAUCACCUGUCCCAGGAACAAGAGAAUGCAUUAGUUUGAAUUUCCAUCAGACACUUGAAAAUUAAAAAGAACAGGAAAUAAAGAGCCACGUACAUAUUGAACAAGCCCAAACUUAAUAACCAAGUAGAACCAUUCUCCUAGAGGCCAAGGUUUCAGCAUGUAGUUCAUUGGAAAAGGAUGGUUCACAUAUCGUUGUCCAGUUUCAUGGUCUAAAAGUGGUACAUCAGAACCUGAACUGCCUUCCCUCUUCAGAAAUUCAAUUGUCCUAUCUUCCCCACCUAGCAAUGAAAAUAUUACAUAUAAGGACUAAUGUAAUGAUAAUAACAGUUGGAGUGGAAAUUGCUGGAAAAAGGAGUACCUAAGCAAGCAACUAGAUACCGCCCAAAACAGUACAUAGCAAAUGCCUCGUAGCCAUCUCGCAGAAUCUCAAUAUCAACACUAAUUGAUGGAUUCACCAAUGAUAUGUACUGAAACAAUAAUCAUAAAAUGUUACUACCAGAGUAAAAAAAAAAUUGUCUCAUCCGACAUUGUGAUUGUAAUAUUAUAAAAAAGACAUAGCAUAGCACCUUACCGACUCGACCGCAUAGCAUGGGACCAUGAGAAUAACACCGACAAGAAACUUCUGCUCCUGUAAAAAGAACACAAAUAUGGCACCAAUGAGCCAAAAUAGCAAGUCAAACACAGCUCCAGAUAUAUGAACACAAUGCUUCAAAUUGUAAAUGUUGAUUGCACCUCUGGGUUCUUGUAGGCUGACAGAUGAUUGAACAGCAAGAACAGAGAUAGUGAAAGCGAGGUGAUGACAAAAAUGCCAGCGGUGAUUGAAGCCCAAAUAGGGGGCGCAUAGCUCCUGAAAACUGAGUACAGCUGCUCUGCCAAUUCCAUUGUUCUCUCUUGUCUCCCUCAAUUCUACUCAAAGUACGCCACUAUUAGAGCUACCAAUAUAUUGACAGCCUCCUCCUGUUUCACAAUAUGGUUCAUAAAGUAUCAUAAUUCACAAGCCCCAACUGAUACUGGAGUCCUUUAUUAGGAGGCAGACACCAAGAGGUAGGAUUAUGUUCUUCCACCAAAUGCACGGUAGUAUUCAACUGCAAGCACAAAAAAGACUGAAAUUUUUAUGGGCAAAUCCCAGAUCAGAAGGACCAGCAGCAAGGACAUGCCCUCCAUAGAAAGGAGUACCAGCCGAAUUUAAAUCUGGAGAAAACGAGGCUCAUAAAUUAAGCAAAACAAAAAUCGCAUCUUUCCAAUCAAACUCCUAACUUUGAUGCCGCCGUGAAUCAGAAACAAAAAAAAAACGCAAAUUUCUGCCGAAUUUCCAUCGAAACCAAUCUAUUUUACUGCUAAUAGCCCUAUAGAGUGCCCCACUGAGGAGCAAAAGGAGAAUCCGCCCAAGGAGGGGCAAUGAAUCGAAGAACAGAUAUUACGGUCUGAAACAACACAAACCUGGAGGAUCAGAUUUGUGCCGCAAGAGAGGAGAGCCAAUUUAUGAAGUGAAGGGAAUAAAAGAAGGAAGAAGCCGAAGAAUCCAACGAUCAAAGUUGCGUCUGGAUUUGGAAUAUGGGAUUUGGGAUUUGGAGAGGAGCAGGAGUUAGGAGAAGAAUGUGUUGCAUUCUAAUUAUGAUCUAAUUAGAAUUUGGAGAGGAGCAGGAGUUAGGAGAAGAAUAUAUUUGGAGAGGAGCUUUAUGAUCUAAUUAUGCAACACACAAUGUGUUGCAUAAUUAGAUCAUUGUUGAUGAGACUAGAAGGGUAGGUGGUGGGGCGGAAUCGUAGUUAGCAGGCGAUUUGUGACGAGAAAUUGAAGUUCAGAAGUGAGAAAUCUCGUCAUGAGAGAAGAGAGCACUUGGUUCCAACAUUUUGGAGUCUAUGCUGAUCUGGGCCCAUCUUUCCUUUCUUGUCCCCCCCCCCUUUUUUUUUCUUGCUAAUCUAGGUCUCUAACUAACUUUUUCCCCUUAUCUUACUAGUUACAAGCCCGUGCUAACGCUACGGUGAUAAUUAAAAGUGAAACAACCGAGUACAGAAGCUUUCUUUCUCACAAUAUAAUGCAAUAUAAAUUUCUAUAUAUCAAGUGCGCUGCACAACUCUAAUUAUGCAACACAUUGUGAGCUAGUGGCUGAACAAAGAAGUAAAAAUUGCAACAAGGUGCACACAUCUAAAUGUAAAACAUUCCACAACAUAUAUUUUUUGCACAUAAAUAUUUGGAAAAUGAGUGGAAACAAAAAGAAAGAGAGCAGAAUAAACACCGCGUGCUAAAAAAUGUUGAGCUUAAUGGUUAAGAAUAUUUAGCUCCAGAAAAAAAUCUCUACAAAGAACCAAACCAUAGAACAAGUCAUAAACCAUUUUAUCUGAUUUUAAACUUCUUUCACUUCCUAGAAUACAUGAAGCUCCUAUGGUAUAAAUCUGAUUGUUCUAAUUGCUCCUCUGUUUAAGAAAUGUAUCUAAAGAACAAGAUGCAAUGUGGUGAGGGACACUCAACUUUCAAAUCCUGGUAGUACAUCUCCGGAAAUUUAGAACAAUAGUAAAAGCUCGGAAAUUCAGCAAUGAACUUUCAAGUCUUUACAGGGCAUAUUUCAUAAAUUCAUAGUGAUGAUAAAAAAUUCAGCAUAUGAGCUUCAUGUAUUCUGGGCAGAAAUUCAGCACUGAACACUCAUGGUAUAACAUUUGAUAUGUUCAGAUUGCAUAAUUUCCAUGUACAUCAAAAUUAUUAUUAAAGGGGUAAAAAAAGGAUCCAACAAAAUAGAAAAGAACUGCUACCUGUGGCAAGUAAUUUUCUGUUAAGAUAUCAGUAAGAUGUGGCAGGUAAAUGUUAAAAUUGCAAAUUGUCAGUUCUUGUAGCAUUAUUGAAUAGAAGUUUGUUUAUUGCAAAAGUUUGAGUGAGCUACUUAUGAGAUGUACGAGGGGAAACAUGAAAACAAUUGUUGCUUGUACUACAUCAUUUCCUCGUGCUUUUAGAGGGUGAUGUCAAGUUGAUUGUUAUUUGCAUAAGUGAAAUGAAAUUGAAGGGCAUUAGUGGUUGAGGGAUAUAUUUGAACAAACCGUACCACUCUAUAAUCUAUAUAUUAAUCAAACACUAAUGGGAUUUCUGCAUAUAUCCUUGACUUUAAAUGGCAGAAUUCCCAAUGAAAAGAAUUACAAUGCAUGAAUCAAACAGGCAAGCCUAGCACAUUCAUACUUUUUUCUAUUUUCGAGAAAUACGCAGAACCUACAUUCAGUUUUGUAUGGGCGAGAAGAUUCAAUCCUGGAUAUAAGAAACAAUGCAUAUUAUGAGACAAAACUAGAGUGAAGUAGACAAAUAGAAUGGAGAAUAUGUGGAUCAGGUUAUUUAUUUAUUCGGGCAAAACUGUGUACAUGGAAUAUUAUUUUAGAUUUGGUUCCUACAGGUUCAAAAGAGCUCACAUAGUCAAUGAUCAUUCUAAAUCUAAAGAACACAAUGGAUCUAAACCUAGGGAACUGAUCACAGAUGCACGCCAAUUAUCAGAUAUGUAUGUACUCCAAUAAGCAGGAAUAUAGGGUCACUGAUACACUGCAAACUAGUAUUUAUUUCUUAUAAAAAAACCAAAGAGAUUGAUUUGUUAGGAGGAUGUAUAUUGUACCUGCUUGGAACUGGACUCUGCAAGCUGAGGAAUGAGACGAGGGCAUGGCCUGACGAGGCUUCGCUUGAUCCUGCAGCAAUUCCAACCUCGAAAAAUGAUCUGAAACCUGAGUAUUUUUUUGUAGCUGGAAACAUUUUAACUGGUAAAUUUUGUUUCUCAAACUAUCUAAUAUAAAAUAUCAUAAACUAAAAAGAAGUGAAAUUGGGGACUAUAAAAGUCACAACAAGAUUAUGUAUGCAUGAAAAGACACGGAAGCAUAUUGAAAGACUUCCACAGCUAUGAUUUGUGUCAUGCCAACAUAAAUCAACAUUAUUAAUAAAACUAGUGAAUCAUCAGCACGCAAAUACACAGAUCCAAAAAGAAAAAAAAAGAAUACCAUCGAUCAAUCAACACUCAAGUUAGCAUUCACCUUGAGGGAGAUGUGAAGAUGGGCAGCUAAGGAGCGGAACCACGGGCGGCGGAGGGAAUCGAAGAUGCAGGCAGGACGACGAUUUGCGGUGCGGGGUCCCGGCGGCGAGCGGCGGGAGAUGGAGGCGGGGGAAAUCGACGAUUUGCGCUGAAAGGGGGCGGCGGCAGCAGGGCUGAGGGGAUCGACGACGGCGAUUGGAUUUGGAUGGAUGGGGGGCGGAGGAGGAGGAACCCUCCCGCGUAGGCGUAGCGUGCUCUCGAUCUGAUACGUUCGAUGAUUUUAAUACUACUUUGAACUGAACUAUAAGAAUUUUCUAAUAUAUUUUACGAUAUUCUUAUAAAAAAAUUUGGUGAGUGUUUGGGACCGAAACAAUUUUAUAUAUCUACUCUUAUUUUUUCUAUGAAUCUUUCAUACUUAAGAUUGAUUAUUAUUAUUUUACUGCACGGAUAGUAUUGCGAGUUCAAGGUGAAAAUACUAUCCGCGGUAGGAUAGGAUAGCUCAAGCCAUAUAAAAUUGAAUCUUUAAAAAACAUGAAGGGGGAUUAAAGGUGUGUUUAGUACAUGUUAAAAUUGGAAGUUUGGUUAAAAUUGAAACGGUGUGAUGGAAAAGUUGAAAGUUUAUGUGUAGGAAAAUUUUCAUGUGAUGGAAAAAUUGGAAGUUUGAAGAAAAAGUUUGGAACUAAAUAAGGCCUAAAAUAAAAAAUAAAAAAGAUGAAUUCCUGAAGCAAAAAAUUCAAGUUGAAAUAUAGUGCAAAAGGAAUAAUUUGAAGAGAAAAAAAAUGACAAGAAAAAAAAACUGAAAACAAGAAACUAGAAACUUCACAGUACUAGUAGUACAAAACAAAAAAAAUCAGAGAAAGGUGUUAAUAAAUCAAGAGAGAGAUAUAAUUCCUGACCGGCGUUGGACUGGCGCAGCCGCGGCGAUUGGAGUGGAGGGGCGUUCCCCUCCGGCGACGAUUGCUUGGGGAGACGGAGAUUAAUCGAUCCAAGUAUUGUUUAUUAACUCGUGUUGUGCCGUGUUUUUUUUUCCCUUUAAUAAAUUGGCCUAAUUGUACUGUACCUUUCGUUCUCUUACCUAAAUCUGAUGGCCUGUUCCAGAACUCUCCAGUUCUCUCAUUCAUCUUCUUGUUUUUCUUUUCUCAUAGCCAUGGCCAUUUAUGAAUUAUGACAGAAAAUUAAUCAGAUUAUCCAUUGGAUUGGAUUGUUUAUCACAUUAAAGAAAAGUAAUCAGAUCCGCAGUUAACUUAUCCCAUCAUAUCAGUUCUUCUGGCAAAGUGCGUGUACCGAAUGUCAGCUAUACCGGAUAGUCAACUUCAGAGCUCAUUCACAUACUUCAGUUCAGGAACUAAUACAGUUAUUACAAGUCCCAUAAAAACACCAACAGGCGUCAGGCCGCUUCAUUCAGUUCAUUACACUGAUCGGCAAAUGGUCAGAAAGUUUUGCAAAAUGAAAGUGCUUCUGCCAAACUUCAUAUGUUUUCCUGCCUUUUCUGGUUGAUCAGACAUUCAAACUCAUCAGGAUACACCAACAAAAUUGUGUCCUAAACUCCUCAAGUUACUGUUCUGGGUUUCAACUGUCUAGAGCUUAGGAAAAUGUUCAGGUUUGUUAUGCUCCACAUUGAAUCAAGAAAAGUACCCCCAAUCAUUUUUAGUGCAAAUCUGAGCAUCGGUAGAAUAUAGUGGAGCAUUUUAUGUGAAUCCAAUUGACAACACUGCAUAUUGUCAUCAAUUGAAAACCAUGCCUGCUUCAACCUCAAGCAGCUUUCUCCAAGCCAAAAGCAAGGCAAAUUUUGGGCACAAAGAGUUCAGAAUUGAAUUUCUCUAACAAACUGGUGCAAAGAGAAGUUUACUCAUAGAACAUAACCAAAAACAUGGUAAAAUGGCACAGACCACAGUAGAGGUAGACUCAACUCAAGAUGAUUGAACAGGCAAUUCAAUUAAUGUUUAUUGGCAAAUUGCAUGUGCCACAGAACAAAUGAAGAAUAAUUCUCUUAAAUACAACAUGAAAUCAAGUUCCAACAGAUUUAAUUGGAAGCAACCUAAAACAUCCAAACGCAGAUCAAUGUCUCGACGAUGUUAAGUUAUUGGAAGUAAAGGCACACAUUGCACCAACCCAACCCACCCAUCAAAUAAUCCUUUGCAACAGCUGUUGCAUAUAUGCAGAUCUCUUCUCUGUAAUUUCAUCAAAGCAGCCGGCCUCUAUAUAUACACCCCUCAUUCCCUCUUUCCAUGGAAGUAGUUAGAGUGUGUAUAGUGAGCCAAUCAGUUACAGUGCCACGCUCUUGAGCAAGAAGACGGCGGGCUCCGAUUUUGCGGCGCAACCAUACCUAAAUGUGCUGUACUUUCUAUGAACUCCAGUAAGCUUCCCAUGUCCUGCUUUUUGGUGGAGCUCAACCAUCAUCUUGGAGCACUCCCUGCAAGGCAAAGAUAACAAAAUAACUGUCAGUACAAGAGGACAGUUUUAGUUUAUAUGGUACUGAAAUGCAGGAAUUGGGGACAGUUUUGGUACAUCAGCUGUUCUUCAGAGUAUUUUGUAUGCAGCUCACAGCAUUUGUUCCAGGACUUGAACCCAUUAAUGGUGCACUGAGCAGUGUAGAUGGCAGCAGCCGCCAGCAUUGACGGCUGGAAUUUGAGCAUCUCAUACUCGACAAGGCUCAGCUCAAUUAUGAAGAAAGACAUGAGCUCAAGCUGUUUCAGUAGGCACUUGGGUCAGACAAUGCACUCACAUAGCAAAGCUACUGUAUAUCAAUACAAAGAUGGAUGCACCAGUGUGUUUUUGUCCUACCUUCUUGUCAGAUUGUGCAGCCUUGAGGAACCUUCUCAUGAAACAGUAUGGAGUUGGAACUGACAUAUCAAACUGAAGAGUGUUUACAAUCAUCCUCUCCUGCACAAAUACAAAUGACACUUUCACUUCUCUGAACAUAUAUCGAUCGCUCUGGAAAAAAACAGGUACAGUAUUCUUCUUACCAUUUCGAGAAUAUCUGUUCUUGUGUAGGCGCGGUCGCAGAUUAGGAUAAGAUCCUCCACUACAGGAACGCUCACUUCUUCAUACUUGCAGGCGAGCAGCAUGGCAGUCACGCCAACCAACUGAAGCUUCUUUCGCACCACAUUUUCGCGAGCCAAGAAUCGGUCUAUGAUAUUCACAGUAAGGAAGAGGGUCUCAUCCAAUAGCUCUAACUUGUAAUGCACCUGCAUUGGUCAAGUUAUUGUCAGAAACUAAGAAUUCCCAAACCACAUGAUGAAUAUGCUGAAUGAAAUACUUGCCUCUAUCAGCCAAUCGAUGAGAAUGCCGCGCAUCUUCUCAUUUAUGUCAUUUUGGCUCAACAUGUAAUUAGGAGAGACACAGCUCAAACCCUGUGCACACAGAAUUUGCAAUGAGAUUGAUUACCCAGGUAACACAUCAAAACAACUUCUCAGGUUCCACAAAAAAGUUACCUCACUCCUCCUGUAGAAGCUGUAAAUUUCAUCAACAUAUUCAACUACUGCAAGGGAGUUAUUUGCAUCACAGCUGUCAAUAUCAGGUGCUGCCUCCUCAAUGUCUUCCAUCUCAAUUUCUUUCAGUUCAGAACCCAUCUGAAAUAACAAGUUGGACUGCUGAUUAGUGAUGAAUCCUACCUACCAAGUGCUAAUUGCUAAAUAAUGCAUUCCAAGUAUAUCAUGUCAUUUACCACUUCGUCCAUCUCAGACAUCAUUGGCAAUGGCAAAUCAUCAGAUGUGAUCUUGGUGCACUCCAUAUCUGCUGGACCAUGAAAUGCAGAAUCUGCUGUCCUUUUUUGCCUCUCACUUCCAAUGGGUGCCUGCCACAAUAAAGACAGCUUCUUCAGACUACUAGUAUUUGUUCAAAGCAGCUCACAGAAUUGUUGUUCUGCUAUGCAUCUGUAAAUUUACUAGUUAUGGAAUAUGUAAAUAGAAGUCAGAAAACUGUAGGCGUUAAGUCCUAGAGCUGUCAUUCGAACUAAAUUCUACAUCACUGGAUUAAAUUAGAAGAUGCAGUGUACAGGCAACAUUAAUAUCUCAUUUGCAACUUUCCGAUUUACCAUUUCGAGUUUCUGCAUGUAAAUCUGAAUAACCACAUGUACUAAUUCAAAGUUAAACAAAAUCAAAUAGAAAGAGCACAGCAUUUUCAGAGCAUAUCAAAACAACAGCAAACCUAAAGAACAAUUAGGAAAGCAUUGGAUAUAUGAUGGGGAAGUUGACAUAUCAGAACAGCAGCAGUAUCAAUAUAGCAACAACUUUAAUAUGGCUUUCAUGAGUAAUUACCAGGGGAGCACUGGAGGGUUGGUUUGCCAGUGUUGCAGCAAAUUUCCUGUCAAAAAAUCAAACUUAUCACAAAACAUUUCACUUAAUUCAGUACAGAACGGUAAGAUCAAGAACAGCUCAAACCUCGUCAUAGGACGGUGUCCAGCUUGGUUCUUAGCGGCAGGUUUACUGAAGCAUGUCAAGAAAUUCAGACCCAUUAGAGAAACUGUAAAAGCAGAUUAGAAAUCAAAGUUGAAACAAAGGCUCGGCGGAAUUACUCUAGCAAACCCCUCUUGCUCACAGCCAUGUGCUGGUGAGGUGCUCCGAUGAUGUUCUUGAUGUCCCGCAGAGCCCUCCUGUUGGUGUUUGCCAUCUCGGGCGCAUGCUUGACGCCCUCCAUUGAAACACCUUCGCCCAAAUUUACAUGUUAGAGCAGCAAACAAAGGCCACACAGAACAAGCCUGAAUUCCAGAUGCGGAUAAAGUUGGUACCUUGGUUAAAGUUCUCAGAUCUCAUGUUCUCCAUUGCUGACGUUCUACUGUAGAAAAACCAAACCGAAAUUUUGUCAGAACACGAACGCUUUUUUUGUCAGAAAUCGAAGAAACAGGCAGCGAUAUGAACAUGUAGCAUUACGAGCCACGCGGAUCUACAAAAGGCAAGACAUUAUUAUUUGAAUUCGCUCCUGAUAUUUCGCUAGAUGUCUUAAAAAUUCCAGUUUUGACCACGAAACGACCCCCAAGAAGUCAAAUAUGGCAGAAACCAAGAGAAGAAACAGAUUAGAACCCUCGUAAUUCCAACUCGAGAGACUUGCUGUGCUUGAACUCUCUCGUCAGGGUGGAGAGAUCGAAGAAAUUCCACAGCAGAAAAUAAAAGAAAAGAAAAAACACCCACAAAAAAAGGAAGGCUGUCCAAGAAGUUGCUGAACAUGCCUUCCAAGAAGCGGAAUCAUCUCCCUGUCGAGUUUCCUCCGUUCUUGGUAGAAAAAACCAGGAGGAAGAACCCAUCAAAAACAUCAAAGAUCUAAUCUUGAACCAAUCCUACAGGCUAGAGUACCGACGAUUCGAUUUCAGCUAGCUGCUAAUCUUUUUCCCUGAAUUACUCGUCCACGUCUCCAUCCAAGCGGAGAUCCAAGGGAAAACGAGCUCAGGGAACCAAAUCGAACGCAAAACCACAUCAAAAAAAACCCCUCAAAAUGAAAAUCUCCUCCUCUAGCCCAAAUUUCCGACCAAGAACGCAUCAAUCUACCGCAAGAAGGAGCCUUACACGAUCUAGAAGACGAGAGAGGAGGAAGAAGAUUGCUGCCCUGCCACCUCUCUCCCCCUCUCUCUCUCUCUCUCUCUCGAUGCUCCAGAAGAAGAAGAAGCAGCAGAGGGGAGAGGCCUAGCUGCGAGUGCGAGCUGCGGUGGUUGGAGGAGCGGAGGAGAGGGGAGACAAAGGAGAGAUAAAAUAGGGGAGGUAGGAAGGCGUAAUUUGGCCGAAAAGGCAAGGGCUCACCCGGCCUCUCCUGUUUAAACGCAACGGUCGUGGGAUCUGGGCCGUCGGAUCUGCAUCCUGCGGCGGAGGAGUCACCCCGCGGCCUUAACGGCUACCCGCACCCCACAAGGCCCGAUUCCCACAUGUGCUUUCAAAUUAGAAGCUGGUCUCACUUGUUUCCUUCUCCCCUCCUCAUCUCAUCGCCAGCCAACACCUUUUAGGGGUCUAUUUUUAGUCACUUGCUUCACAAUUCUCCUUUAAAUGCACCCCCCCUACUGUCAUGUCAGGUUUUAUUAACAAAUAUUGCUUGAUUCGAAUGCAACAGAUUUUGCAAAAACUAUCUUCCCUGUUACAAAGAUAAUUAUAUAUCAUGGCCCCACUCAAUAUAUCGCACAAUACAAAUCAUGGUAGUAACUUGUACAAUUUGGUUAGCCCUUGAAUCUUAGGUUUUCAAUAUAUUCUUAUAAUUUUCUGUUUACCAACACGCAGAAUACCGGGGGAAAUAUGUGUGCUCUUUCGACAAUAGACCCACUGUUUUACUUUGCAGCUGAUAAGCCGUGAAAAAAUGAACGAAGCAACCAAAAAUAAUUUAUAGUUAAAAAGUUUAUAUUUAUGUUCUUAGCAAUUCAAAAGCCAAUGAUAGAAAAGAAACUACGAUGAAAAAAAACUCCAAAACCAACUCUAAAAUUAGGUUUAAAAAAAUUCAAAAUUUUGUAGUGGCUAGUAAGCCAAUUAGAAAACAAUAGGUGUGAAUGACCUUUUUUUUUUGCCAAAGAUCUAACUUUACAAAACUAUGCCAUGUUUAUAUCAUGUGUAAUUUAAUUAGUUGAGUUCAAUAAAGCUUUCAUUAUCUUUGAAACAACUAAGGACAUAAGGAACGUGAUUAGGUUGUGUUCUUAUGAGUCUUCCUCUUGGCACGCAAAUGGAGUGGUGGAUUAGCUCAUGAUUAAUUAAGUAUUAGUUAAAAAACUUGAAAUGAAUUAAUAUGAUUUUUAAAGUAACUUUCCUAUAGAAGUUUUUGCAAAAAAUAAACACACACACACACACCAUUUAGCGGUUCGAAAAAUGUGUGCAUGGAAAACAAGAGAGUAAAAGUUGGAAAACAGGAGAAAAGACACACACUGUAAGGCUUGUUUGGGGGAAUUUCUAGCAGCUGCAGUAUCCCAUAGAAUCUCCAACUCCCAAAACAAUUUAGAUUGUCACCCCAAAUUCUGAGAAUCUAUAGUUGUAGAAUCCAUAAAAUGAACUAGAAGCUAGAAGUUAGAAAAUCCAGCUUCUCUAGAUUCUCAUAAGCUACCUACCAACUAGCAGAUUCUCAUAAUCGUAAGCCCCCCAAACAGGGCCUAAGAAUGUCACAACCCCCCCCCCCCCCCCCAAACCCACCCAAAAAAAAGUGAGAGAUAGAAGGACCGACCUAUUAACCGAGUAGAGCAACAAUUGUUUAAUGUCAUACCUUCACAUCUAUGUCCUUUGAGGUUGGGAAGGGGAUGUCAUGCUUCCAUUGCUCCCCAUCAAGCACGCCAAAGUGGCCAUUAGUGUUACACUGACCUUCAUUGUCAGCUCGAUCAUCAAGGAACUUGUCUUCUCCAAAUUCCUUUUGAUGGCAUUAAUUGGUGUGGUGGUGACAAGAUUCACUAUAGAAGAAUCCAUGGAGGAGGCUGAAAUGAACAUGUAAAGAGUGGUUAGUGGCUAGCGCGGCCGCUAGAUCUAGCGGAAUCAACAACGACGACGACGGGAGCAAAACAUAAGGAAUUCGAGAAGGAGGUUGGAAGGAACGUGUAGAGUUGACCGCUGGGUAGGAAGCCUAUCAUCCCCAUCGAAAUCGACAACAAUGGUGGUGAUUAGCAUCGCCACCUCCCCAUGGUAGUUAGGCUUUUUCAAUAGCAAUGAUUGAUGUGGCGGUGGCAUAUGUAGGGGUGGUCGAUGACUAGGAAAGCCGCUAGAUCCAGUGGAAUCAGCAAACAACAAUGGCGAUUGGCAUGGCCACCUCUCAAUGGUGGCUAUGGUAUUUUGAGGGAGCGAUGGGAGGACCAUGGUCAACGACUAAGAAGACUGUUGGAUCUAGCGAAACCGGCAACAACACAUAGGGUUGUGGUUGGCAUAGCUAUCUCCCUAGGGUAUUUCAACACCAACCAAUGUGAUGGUGGUGCAAUUUACUUGGAUGAAUAAGUAGAUGGAGUUGAUGAAAGGAUCUUGGUCGACGACUAGGAAGAUUGCUAGCGGAAUCGGCAAAAACAACGGUGGUUGGCGUCGGCCUGUUUGUGUAUAUCCUUUUCAUUUUUGUUUAAUGUGUGAUUUAGUGGGCUACACCAUUAACUGCAAGAUUCUUUUUUUUUCAUUUUGUUUAAUAUGAGGUGGCUGACUCUUAAUGACCUACACUAUAGAAGGAAUUCUGUAAUUAAUUACUUUUAAUAUAUGCUAGGUGGCCCAAAUGGUUUAAACCAUAGCUGGAUUUUUUUUUUUGAUUUUGUUCAAUAUGAGGUGGCUGACUUAAUGACCUAAAUCAUAGAAGGAAGCUUUUUAAUUAUUUUUUAAGUAUACACCAGGUUGGCCCAAAUGGUUUAAAUCAUAGCUUGAUUUUUUUUUUCAUUUUGUUCAAUAUGAGGUGGCCAAGUUUAAUGGGAUAAAUCAUAUCAGGAAAUAAAAUAUUUGAAAAGUAAUACUUGCCAUUUAUUUUCAUGGAAACUAAUACUUGCUUUGUGUGGCAAUGGGGUGAAAAUAUAGCCUCCCAUCGUGUGCCUUUUGCUUAUAAGGCGCUGCUAAAAUUUAAGUUUUAAAAUUUUGAUUUUGGAGUUAAUUUUAGAGUUUCUUUUUAUCAUACUAUAUAUUUCAACAUUGACUUUGUUGACGUGUACACAAGUUUUACCCAUAAUUUUUUUUACCGAUAAAACAUUUUACAUUAGCUGUACGUAGGCCAAACAAUUAGACUGAUAGACACUCAUGCACGUGUAGGCACAAGGCAGAUGUAUUUUGGAUCGAUUUCUGCCACUAAAAUUUGGAAAUCCCUCAAAUAUUGUCUAUACGAAAAGGAGAAUCGGGCCCAUGCGUCAUGGAGAGAAUGAGUGAAAUAUAAAAGAUGAGGCAAAUUAAAUUAUCGUUAACACUUAACACAUACUGUAUGCAGUAUAGUUUCAUAGCUUGAAGUAAAUCAAAGGAAAAUGACUGAGAAAUCAUGAUCACUAGCUAAAUGCCCUUCUUUGCUAUGGAUAAAAGAAAAUUUAUUAAUAUGUAUAGGAAUAUUCGUCUUGCUCUAAUUUUUUAUGGGGCUAGCCAUUUGGAUUUGAUUUAAAGUUUAGGGGUUUAUUUGCAAAAUUUAAAAUGAGAGUAGGUAGGAUAACAUAUUUACUGUAACCAUCACUGUUUUUUAAAGGAAUAUAAAUAUUGUGGGAUAAAUUACUACUAUCUCCGUUCCAAUAUAAAUGCAACAUACUACAAAUAUGACAUAUUCUACGACUAUAAAUCUGAAUAGACUGUUAUUCAAAUUCAUAGUUUUAGAUAUAUCACAUCUAUAUUAUGCUGCCACUUAUAUUUGAAUGAAGAAAAUAUAUUUUUUACUUUUUUUUUAAGGAGUAUAGAUAUCGUGGGAUUGGGAAAAACGAAUGAAUGAAUGUUUGAGGGACAUGCUACAUGCCGUCCUUUUCCUAGUGACGGCUUAAUAAUGCCGUUGGUUUCUUGUUGCUUUUUGGGUCCACAUGGUCCUCCUGUUCAGUCCAGUCCUUACCGUUAUGUCUCCACCAUUUUUAUUUGUUUUCCUAGGUAGAGAAGCAUCACGGUCACAGUAAAAGUUCAGGCUAUACUUACUGUUUGGUAAUUUUACUGGGACACCAGAACAACAUUUUUGCCUGCAAUCGUUAGUGUGUCAGUAGUAUCGUGCUGUACCAAAAAGAGAGAUAUGUAUACAAGUACAACUAUAUCUGUAUACCUAAUUAAAACAUAAGUAAGGCUUUCGAUUUUGUUUGUGUCUAUCUGGUUUUUCGCCUUUGUUUUCUAGGCCGAACAAUUUUUUCGCCUUUUUUUUCUAGGCCGAUUGAUUUUUUUUUCUGCGUGCACGCGAUAAGUCUAUAUCUAAUUAAAAAAUAAGUAAGGCCAGAUUCCAUUUUGAUUUUGGUCCAUAUGAUUUUUUGCCUUUUUUUCAGGCUGAACGGUUUUUUCCUGCGCGCACUAGGUAAGUCUAUACCUAAUAAUUAAAAAAAAAAGUAAGGCUUCUGAUUUUGUUUUUAGUCCAUCUGUUUUUUUUGCCAUUUUUUUUAGACCGAACGGUUUUUUCCUACCCUCAUGCAUUAAGUCCAUAUUUUUCAAUCUCCUCUAGUCCAAUUCGUACACCUCAGCCGCCAUCGGACCAAAGUCCGUCUGGUCCAUUCCGUUUUUUUCGCCGUUUUCUUUUUUUGGUAGAACGGUUUUUUAUGCGCGCAUGUGGUAAGUCUGGUUUUUUUCAAUUUCCUCCGGUAUGAUCCGCACGCCGCAGCCGCUAUCGGGCCAAAUCCUAGCAUCGUUGCCACUACAAUCUACCUCCCCGUACAUUUCCUCCUCCAAUUGAUUGUAAAAAUCUAUUCCCCACUCCUCCAUCAUUAUUUUACCCAUGAUGUAUUAUUUCAAUUCGCCCGUACAUUUCCUCCUCCAAUUGAUUGCAUAAAUAUCUAUUCCCCACUCCUCCAUCAUCAUUUUAUCCAUGAUUUAUUAUUUCAAUUCGGCUUUAAUUCGCUGAAUUUAAUCUCUAUUUAACAGCCGCCGAUGAUGCCCAAUCGGUGAGCUUGAUUCGCUCCGAUUUUGGGAAAAUGGAAAGAGUAGAUUAGUGAUCAAAAGUCCUUUAUCAAUUUUGGAAGAUCGAGAAAAAUUCAGCCGGAUUUGGGAGGAUCAACUCCGGCAUCUCAUGGGCACAAAACUACCAACAAAGGUUGAAGACGGUAGUAGGAUGUGCCAACUGGACCUACAGCUUCACUUGUGGGUUGGGUUGAAAAGAGGUAGCAUAUUGGGCUAGUGCUGAAAAGGACGAAAAUAAAAUUUUUUUUAGUAAAAGAAAAAAAAUUGAGAUCACCACAAAGGCACAAACUCAAAGAAUACCAACAUGUAGUAUGAGGUUGAAGUGCAUAUGCAUGUAGUGAAAUGCUAAAUAGAGGUAGAUGAUCCUGGAAUUGAGGUGAAGCCGGCAAUUAAGUUAGUUUGUUGCAUGCAGAAGUAUUGCAUGGUGGCAGGGACAAUGAAAUGAAUCUCAUCUCCAACGACGAUCCAUCAAGCACGUACAGGCAAGGGUCGAAGAUCGAAGGAUAUGCUGCGGAUGGGCGCGGCGGUGGCGGAGGCGGAGCCGUCGGGGCGGCAGCUGUCCGACGGCGACCUGCUUGAGGAGCUCCUGUCGACGGCGAACGCAGCGCGCGCGUUCCACGAGUUCCGGCAGUCGCAGCGGAAGGAGUGCUUCAACCUGCUGCGGUGGCUGCAGCUCCUCCUCCCGCUGGUCCAGGAGCUCCGGGAGUCGGCGCCGGCGCUGUCGGACGACGCGUACCGGCGGCUGGCCCUGCUGGGGCGGGCGUUCCAGGCGGCGCGGCGGCUCCUCCGGUGCUGCCACGACGGGAGCAAGAUCUACCUGACGCUGGAGAGCGAGGCGGUGAUGGGGAGGUUCAGGGGGGUGUACGAGAAGAUGAACAUGGCGCUGGAGGGGAUGCCGUACGCGGAGCUGGGGGUGUCGGACGAGGUGAAGGAGCAGGUGGAGCUGAUCAGCGCGCAGCUGAAGAAGCGGAGCAAGAAGCGGACGGAGACGCAGGACAUGGAGCUGGCCAUGGACCUGAUGAUGAUCCUGCAGAGCAAGGAGCAGGACGCCAACAACGCCGACCGCCCCAUCCUGGACCGCCUCGCCAAGCGCCUCCAGCUCCAGAGCCUCGCCGACCUCCGCGCCGAGACCAUGGCCAUCAAGAAGCUCAUCAACGACCACCAGUCCGACUCCACCAACCAGAUUGUCGACCUCCUCCACCGCCUCAAGGCCAUCGCCGGCGUCGACGAGAAGAACAUCCUCGGCGACGUCUUCAUCCCCAAGUACCUCGAGAAGUGCCCCUCCCUCAUGAUCCCCAACGACUUCCUCUGCCCCAUCUCCCUCGAGAUCAUGACCGAUCCCGUCAUCAUCGCCACCGGAAGGGCAAGUAUUCUAUUCAUCAUCAUCAUCUUCUUCCUCGAUCCAUCCAUGGAUAUCAAUUAUCUGAUGGAUUCAAAUAAUGCAGACCUAUGAACGCCGCAGCAUCCAGAAAUGGCUGGACGCAGGGCAGAGGACGUGCCCCAAGACGCAGCAGCCGCUGGGCCAUCUCUCCCUGGCGCCCAACUACGCCCUCAAGAACCUCAUCAUGCAAUGGUGCGACAAGAACAAGGUGGAGAUCCACUCCGGCGACCCGCCGCCGGAGCCACCCGAGGACCCCAAGGUGGUCAUCCCCACGCUGGUCAAGGACCUCUCCUCGCCCAACCUCGACGUGCAGCGCAAGGCCGUCAAGAAGAUCCGGACGCUGUCCAAGGAGAACCCCGAGAACAGGCUGCUCGUCACCGACAACGCCGGCAUCCCGGCGCUCAUCGGCCUCCUCCCUUACCCCGACAAGAAGAUGCAGGAGAACACCGUCACCUCGCUGCUCAACCUCUCCAUCGACGAGGCCAACAAGCUCCUCAUCGCCAGGGGCGGGGCCAUCCCCUUGAUCAUCGACGUGCUCAGGAACGGCAGCGUGGAGGGGCAGGAGAACUCCGCGGCGGCGCUCUUCAGCCUGUCCAUGGUGGACGAGAACAAGGUCGCCAUUGGGACCCUGGGAGGCAUACCUCCGCUGGUGGACCUCCUGCAGAACGGCACCGUCAGAGGCAAGAAGGACGCCUCCACGGCCAUCUUCAACCUCAUGCUCAACAAUGGCAACAAGCUGAGAGCCAUCGAGGCCGGCAUCCUGCCCACGCUGCUCAAGCUGCUCGACGACAAGAAGGCCGCCAUGGUCGACGAGGCGCUCUCCAUCUUCCUCCUGCUGGCCUCCAACCCUACGUGCCGGGGCGAGGUUGGGACGGAGCAUUUCGUGGAGAAGCUGGUGCAGAUCAUCAAGGAAGGGACUCCCAAGAACAAGGAGUGCGCGGUCUCGGUUCUUCUCGAGCUGGGCUCCAGCAACAACGCCCUCAUGGCGCACGCCCUCGGCUUCGAUCUCCAUGACCAUCUGGCCGACAUUGCCAAGAACGGCACCAGCAGAGCGCAGAGGAAGGCCAAUUCUCUCAUCCAGCUAGCUCGCAAGUGUUCAUGAGAAGAAGAAGAUCGAGUUAAUACGAACCAACUGUCAGAAACCGCAACAGUAAUUAUUCUUUUAUAUACUCCACUAGUUUUGGAUCAAUAGUAGAUAGCUAAUCUGUCAUGUUCACACACACACGUACAACAACUAACAUGUAAGUGAGAAAUUACAAAGAUUAAUUGUUUGUUGGCAUUACUGCAAUUUUUGUUGUAAUUAAGUCUCUAUACUAUGCUAUGGUAAAUGUAUAAGAGAAGUCGUUGUUGGUGUUUUAAUAGGAAACCAAGCAAAAUUAAUUUACUAGUAUCUUAUUCAGGUUAAAUUAUUAGUACUAGUUUCGCAGUACAUUGACAGUGACUUUGGCCCUAUUUGGGGGAGCUUGUCCCAGCUGCAGCUUUUUCCAAAAGCUGCUUCUGUUAGAAGCUGCCCCAAACAGUCCACAGCUUCUGAGAAUCUGUAGUUACAGAUUCUAAAAAAUGAACUAAGAAGCCAGAAGCUGGGUUUCAGAGAUUUUCCAGAUUAUCAGAAGCUGGCUACCAAACAGCUGCUUCUCAGAAUCUAAAGCUCUCCCAAACAGACCCUUUGUGAGGUUACUGAAAAAAAGAAGCCCAACUAACAACACAUCAGCCCAACUACAAGUAGAAAACCUCCUUACUCGCACAGGCCGGCCCAGCUCUAUCUCACCGUCGUUGCCAUCCUCUCCUCUGAUGUCCGACCACCGGGAGGGACUUCCCUUCCGUCUCCUCUCCCGGCCGGAUCGGAAUCGCCGCGACGCGCGCACCGACGGUGGAGAGGGAGACAUACGCUUCUCCACCUCGGCUCCAGCCUCCUCUCUCGCAAGAUCCUCGCGCCCUUCCCUCUCGAUGUUUUUCUAGCUAGGGUACUUUGUUUAAUUUCGUCGCGUGCCGUUUGCUCUACUCGAUCAAAAUUUUGAUGCUCUUGCAAUAGCUCUCUGGAGCUGUACUUUCUAGAUGAAAUCUAUGAAUUGUUAGCCUCAUAUAUAUGGGGACGAUUUAUGCACGAAGUAGUGAACACUGAGGAUUAAUUAGGGAAACAUGCAUUGAACGUACUGUUAUAAAAACAGGCCCAUAUGCUUCAAAUUAUUAUUUUUUUUGACUGCGUGCAGUCAUAUAUAUACAAAAUGUGGGAAAUACACAUUCCCCAAGUCUAGGUACCCACAAAUUAAUUAAGAACAUAUAUAGAUAGGCAACAUAUAUGAAAAUCAGGAGAAGAGAAGAGUUGAAAUCAAGGAAUUAACACAAACAUGUAUAUAUAUGAGCUUAGCAGUUUAUAAAUAUUUAAUUAUAUCAUUUGUCUUGUCGAUCGAUCGAGCUAAGAAACUUAAAUGAAGUUCAGACUAAAAGCCAAAGAGAAAUAACACACACGCACAGAGAGAGAUGCCGUCCCACAGCUUCAUUUUUCAGUUUUUGAUAUAACGUUUGACUCUUCGUUUUAUUUAAAAAUUUUCUAUGAUUAGUGUUUUUAUUAUUAUUAGAUGAUAAAAUAUGAAUAGUAUUUUAUACGUGACUAUUUUUUUUACUUUUGUAUAAAAUUUUCAAAUAAGACGGAUGGUCAAACGUUAGAAAAAAAAACCUAAAAAUGAAGCCUUUGAGAUGUGCACGGACACCAACACGUCAAUCGACCAAGGCCGAGUUUAGUUCCAAGUUUUUUCUUCAAACUUCCAACUUUUUCAUCACAUUAAAACUUUCUUAUAGCACAAACUUCCAACUUUUCCGUCACAUCAUUCCAAUUUUAACCAAACUUUCAAUUUUGGUGUGAACUAAACACACCCCAAAAGAACCCUAAGCUAGCUUAUUGAUCUC